rnacentral:lncRNA from 1 species
AACCGACUCUAACUGGUCUAACCACCAACAGGUCACGUGCCCUCGGCACAAUCCAUCGCCAAAAAGGCGAUACGGGUCUACCGUCAACCUCGACGGCACCCAACAGUCCGGAACAGCCUGAACACUACUAUAAAAAUAUACUCGGCAUCCCAGAACGAGCGUAACUGAAAGCUAAACUACCUAGAAUACUCAGUAUGAGGAUACUGCUACAGUAUAAAAUAAUACAACGGUCCCUAGGGCUAAAUCAGGUAGUGUAACUGAUGACAGGUCCAACUCGCCGGUUUUCUCCUAAUUUAAUUUCCAAGUCCAACAUAUAUAAAUUACUUAAUUUAUUAUCACAUGCUCCAAAUUCAAAUUUGCAAUUCACAUAAUAACCUAUGAAUUCGAGCUAAAGUAAACUACACAAAAUCUGAAAUUUACACAUGUUGACUACUAAGCACUUAGGAGUAUAAGCCGUUGAUUAACCCACCUUAGUCGCUAAUCCCCGGCAGCGAGGAAGUCCUGACACAAGGGAAUACCCUGCUAGAUCAACCGAACACCUCCAAAGGCCAGAAGUCAAGCUCUCGCCAAACUCUACACGUAGAAUCCGACAAUAAGCAUCAAUUCUGCCUAAAAAAUAGCAGCAGAGAAGACUAUAAUUCUGACCGAGCAAACCUUCACCAAAUCUAGCAAAUAAGGGCUUCGUGGAUUCCUCUCGAUGUCCUGAAUCCAAAGAACCAAGUCUCGCUGCAAUCCGACGCUCCUACGUCGCGUACGAGUCAAAACACCAACGGUCGACGCAGAAAAUCUGCGAAAUAGCAUCAUUGAGCUCGGAAGUGAUAAAGACUUGCCAUGGUUGGAGAAAUUGAUGAACAUCUCACCUCAACAGCGAUUCUAGCACCGGCGCGACGUCAAGAACGGCGAAAACGCACUCUCGCCCGGCCUCCUCGUGAUGCAACGGCAACAAACGUGCACUCGAACGGCUCCACGGCGCGAUAUCGGCGACGGAACGACUCCACCCGAGCUCCUCCACCACGCUCGGUCAUGCACAAGGAGAGGAGAGAGAGAGUGCUGAAGUCCUCUCCUCUCUGCUCUCUUUCUAUCCUAUAUAGGAGGGAAGGAGUGGGUGAAAACAACGAGGGAAGGAAAGUCCAAAAAGCCCCUUACCUAACCUGGCGUACCGGUACACGGGCCCACGUAACGGAACUAGAAGCCAACCGGAGAGCAGUUUGCGCGCAGCCUGUGCAGUGUACCGGUACAUCAUACUUGCUGUAUCUGUACAGCAAGCAAAAAAAUAGCUAUUUGCAGAUUUUUCUUGCUAAAUGUUGCUCUCGCGUCGCACAGAGUCCGUUUUGCGUCUAUUUCACGCGAACGCGACUCAGACUUGUCCCGACACUCUCCAGAGUUGUCGACAAGCCUUCACUGCUGAACACCAGGGAUCUCACAUCCUCCCCCACUACAAAAAGUUUCGUCCUCGAAACUUAAGCAUACCUCAGCUCAGGGUAUCGAAUAGGUCGGGAUAGGACUCCCUCAUCAUCGUCUUAGGCUCCAAAGUCGCCUCCCGCUUCUCGUGAUGGCUCCACUGCACUUUCACAUACGUUGCGCAAUUCUUUCGUCUCCCGAGCAAGAAUCAGCAACGGUCGCUCCUCGUAUCUCAAAUCCUCGCCAAUCUCGAGUGGAGUAAAGUCAAUCACGUGAGAAGGAUCGAAAACAUAUCUCCUCAAUGCCGAGACGUGGAAGACAUCGUGAAUGCCAGGUAGUCGUGGGGGUAGAGUGAUCUUGUAUGCAACUGGUCCCACUCACUCCAAUACCUCAAAAGGGCCAACGAAACGUGGACUGAGCUUUCCACGUACUCCAAAUCGGCGAAUCCCUCUGGACGGCGAGACUUUGAGAAAUACAUGAUCUCCAACCUGAAACUCUAAGUCUCGUCUCUUGGUAUCGGCGCAGCUCCUCUGGCUGCUCUGGGCCGUCAAAAGGUGUCGUCGAACAACUCUCACCUUUUCCUCAGCCUCUAGCAAAAUCUUAGGCCCAAGCGUUUUUCUUUCACCCACAUCACUCCAACACAAAGGGGAUCGACAUCUGUGUCCAUACAACGCCUCAAACGGAGCCAUCUGAAUGCUUGCUUGAUAGCUAUUGUUGUACGCAAACUCAGCUAGUCUCAAAUGUCGAUACCACCCUCCUCCAAAGUUCAGGACGCACGCUCUCAGCAUGUCCUCUAGAGUCUGAAUGGUCCGCUCUGACUGACCAUCAGUCUGUGGGUGAAAUGUCGUGCUGAACUGCAGCUGUGUACCCAAGGCUGUCUGCAAACUCCUCCAAAAGUGUGAUACAAACCUCGGAUCCCUAUCAGAUACGAUCGAAAUCGGCACGCUAGGCAGCCUAACAAUCUCAUCCAGAUAUAGCUGCGCGAGUCUCUCCCUGGACCAGGUGGUCUGAACCUGUAAGAAGUGAGCAGACUUGGUCAGUCUGUCCACUAUCACCCAAAUCGCAUCGCAGCCACCCUGCGCUCUAGGCAAUCCCACGACGAAGUCCAUAGUGAUCUGCUCCUAUUUUCACUCGGGCACUGGCAGACUCUGAAGCUUGCGAGCAGGUACUUGAUGCUCGGCUUUUAUCUGUUGACAAGUCAGACACUGAGCUACAAAUCUGCCAAUGUCCCUCUUCAUUCCAUUCCACCAAAACUGGGCCGUCAAGUCCUUAUACAUCUUGGUUCUACCUGGGUGAACCGUAUAAGGAGAACAGUGAGCCUCUCCCAAAAUGUCCUCUCGGAUCCCUGAAUCCGCAGGUACACACAGUCGGUCCCUAUACCGCAGUACUCCCGAACUGUCCACAGAAAAGCCCUCAGCCUGUCCCCGGUCUAGAUGCUCUCGACUCCUCAACAAGUACGGAUCUCCACUCUGUUUCUCUCGGAUCCUAUCCAACAGAGUGGGCUGCAAGACUAGAGACAUCAGUCUCGCAAUAGACCCAGGGGACACAAUCUCGAGCCUCAACCGUUGUAGCUCCUCGAGUAACGGCUUCUGCUGUGUGGUCAUCAAACUCAGGCUCUACACUGCCUUCCUGCUCAACGCAUCUGCCACCACGUUCGCCUUACCGGGAUGAUACUGAAUACUAAUGUCAUAGUCCUUCAGUAACUCCAACCACCGGCGCUGUCUCAGAUUCAACUCCUUUUGGGUAAACAGCUACUUGAGACUUUUAUGAUCAGUAAAAACCUCGCAGUGCUCGCCGUACAAGUAAUGCCGCCACAACUUUAACGCAAAGACAACCGCGGCAAGCUCCAGGUCAUGCGUAGGGUAAUUCGUCUCAUAAUCCUUUAACUGCCAUGAAGCAUACGCAAUUACCCUACCAUGCUGCAUCAGCACACAACUCAGUCCACUGUGCGACGCAUCACUGUAGAUCACGAAUCCUUCCCCCAUCACAGGAAGGGCAAGGAUAGGAGCUGACGUCAACCUCUGUCUCAACUCAUCAAAGCUCCUCUGACAAUCCUCACUCCAGAUGAAUCUAAUUCCCUUGCGCGUCAAUCGAGUGAGGGGUGUGGAAAACUUCGCAAAACCUUUCACAAACCGACGGUAAUAUCCUGCUAGUCCAAGGAAGCUCCUCACCUCAGUCACCGUCGUCAGUCUGGGCCAAUCCCGAAUCGCAUCAAUCUUCUUCGGGUCGACUGCUACUCCCUCUGCUGAUAUCACGUGGCCCAAGAAAGUGACCUCCCGUAACCAGAACUCGCACUUCUUUAACUUAGCAUACAACUUCUUCUCUCUCAGAAGCUGUAGCACAGUCCUCAAGUGCCCCUCAUGCUCGACAUCGCUCCGGGAAUAUAUCAAGAUAUCAUCUAUGAAGACUACCACAAAUCUAUCAAAGAACGGCUUGAACACUCUGUUCAUCAAAUCCAUGAAUGCGGCAGGGGCAUUCGUCAAUCCAAAAGGCAUCACUGUAAACUCAUAAUGCCCGUACCGAGUCCGAAAAGCCGUCUUGGGAACGUCCUCGGCCCUCACUCUCAGCUGGUGGUAACCGGACUGGAGAUCAAUCUUCGAGAAGACACAAGAUCCUUGCAGGUGAUCAAACAGGUCAUCAAUGCGCGACAAAGGAUACUUGUUCUUGAUGGUCACCUUAUUCAGCUCCCGGUAAUCUACGCACAACCUGAGCGAACCAUCCUUCAUCUUUACAAAUAAUACCGGCGCUCCCCAAGGCAAAACACUGGGUCUUACAUACCUCUUAUCCAUCAGAUCCUGAAGUUACGCCUUUACCUCUCUCAGCUCCACCGGUGCCAUCCGAUAAGGUACCUUUGAGAUUGGUGCAGUUCCGGAAACUACAUCAAUCACAAACUCAAUCUCCCUCUCCUGCGGCAUUGUCAUCAACUCAGAAAAAACACAUCUGGAAACUCGCGGACUACAGGAAUAUCCUCGAGUCCCGGCGCCGCCGUAGGUACCUCAACAACAGUCGCCAGAAAGGCAACACAUCAUCUACUCAUUAGCUGUCGAGCUCUCGCCGAAGAUAUCCAAGUGGCAAACAGUAUACUCCUGCAGCCUCUAAAAGUAAACUCCUCCUGGCCUGGCUCACGAAACGUCACUGUCCUCGCUCCACAAUCGAUAGUAGCAUAGUACCGCGCCAGCCAAUCAUACCGAGCACGACGUCGAAGUCCUGCAGCUGCCUUAACACCAAUAGGUCUGCGGGCAUGAUCCACGAGUCUAACUGCACCGGACAUGAUCAACAACACUCUGCAACCUGUAAAACAUGGUCCGGAAUCUGCACCUCUCGUGCCUGUGACAAUGCUCCUAACUCUAGACCAUGCAAUAAUGUAAAUGCUCAGCUAACAAAAGAAUGCGAGGCACCGGUAUCAAAAAGAGUACGAGCUCUAAUACCAAAAAUCAAAGUGAUACCUGUCACCACUUGGUCAGCUGCUAAAGACCCCCCCACCUGGGCUGCGUAGACCCUGCCGCUCGGAGCCUGCUGUCGCCGCUCGCCCUGACGCGGCAUAGACGAUCUGUCCUCCUGGCGGAAACUCGGAGCUGCUCCAAAAGAAGGCUGAGAUGCCGGCUGCGCUGAUGCAGUGGAUGGUGCUGGUGACGCUGCACGGGGACAAGCUGACCUCAUAUGUCCGGGCUGACCGCAACUAUAACAUCUGCCCUCUCUCUGCUCGCACUGUCGGGGCCAGUGUGAUCCCCCGCAGAUCACACACUGCGGUAUCCUCUGAGUUUGUCCCUACUGACGGGAUCCCCUAGAACGCUGACGCCCCGAAGGCCUACGACCUUGAGAGCGUGAUCGGGGAGGCCUCGGCGGACGCCUGCUGCUCGACUCUCCAGCAUCAUCUGAAAAGGGGCGCUUCCUGUCCUGACUCUGCCCCACGGCCUAAGUCCUCUCCUGCAGUGACACCUCACCUCUCUCCACCCACAAGGCCUGCUCUAUGGACGGAUCCAGAGUCCUCGACCUCUGCGUCCGCGCCAACCUGAAAAUGUCGGGUCUCAGCCCCUGUUCAAACAGAUAGACCCUGUGUGCCUCGUCCCUGGUCACAAAUGGCACACAGUUUAGGAGUCGAGUAAACUCCCGAAUGUACUCCUGCACUGGACGAUCCCGCUGCUGAAUCCUCUUCAAAUCCUCCUCGAGCUUCUGUUUCACACUGUUGGAAAAGAACAUCCCAAACAGUAUUCCACAGAACUCAUCCCAUCUCAACUACAACGCUACCGGUCCCUGCUCUCUCCUCACUCUCCUCCACCAGGUGUGGGCAUCACCUGCCAAGCAAUAGACUCCCAAAGACACCUGUUCCUCCUCAGGAAUGAACAAAUCUUCAAAUAACUUCUCCAUCGCACUGACCCAUCCCUCAACAACCCAGGCCUCAGUGCAACUGCCAUCGAAAAUCGGUGGAUCGAAACGGCGGAAACGAGCCAACCUCUCCGUCCACCGCUCCUGCUCGGCCUCUGUCAACUGUACUAGCCCCCCAGCAGGCGUAACUGGCGCUACUGGAAUUACUGCUGGCAGAGGGACUGCUGCAGCUGGUGCUGUCACUGGAGUAGUCAGAGGUGGAACAGACGAGUCUGGUGCCGUCGGUGCUGAACUCUGGGGCGAAGCUAACCUCUCACACAUCCUCUCCAACAACUCCCUCUGCUGCCUCGUCACCUCAGUCAGGGCGGCUAUCUGUGCACUCAAAUCCGGGGAUGCACUCCCCUCUGGUCGAACACUCUGCUCCUGUCGGGCACUUGGCUCCACAUGCUCAGGCAUCUCGGAAGGUCUCGUACGAUCCUGCGACAACUGGGCACGCUCCCGUAACGACGGUCGACCUCGGCGACGAUACAUAGCUGAAAGGAGCAGAUCGGGGUCAGAUGAAACAUAAACACUUUCGACCCAAUCAACGAAAGUCUGGAAGGCGGUCCCUGUUUUCCUCCAAAAUUAUGUUGUCUGCAGCCAACAUAAUUUCUCAGGCCAAAACAAGCACUCCUUCAAUCACUCACCCCACUUUAGGAGGAGUUAGAAUAAUUAAUCAUUGACUUUCGCAAUAAGUUACGCCUCUCGCGUCUUGCCUUCCUAAGGUUUGCCAAACUUAGGUUUUCUAGGUCCCAACGACCUAAUGCUAAGCUCUGAUACCAACUUAAUCUGUUACGCCCCGGAUUACACGUUCCCCAGGCACGCCGACAAAUCCGCCGUAUACAAAAAAAUUUUUCCUGUAUACGAAGCGAUAGCUGUACCUGUAAAUCAUACAAUACUACAAAAAGUAGUAUAGAGCUGCUAGAAGAACCAGAAAUAAAACAAACCGAGUUCCAUAUACAUACGCCAAAUCCAAGAUACAAAACUACUCGCACUGGCGAGUUAAGUAAAAGUAUGUACAUGAACUCCAACAAAAAAACAACUACCUGCUGUAGGGGCACCUCUAGCUCGGCUCGUCGGGUAGGGCUCUAACUCGCGACGCCCUUGCCUCGAUCCUGAUCAGCAACAGCAGCAGCCGAAGACGAAGGCCCUGCAAAAACGGGGUAACAACAGGGCGUGAGAACUACUGUAAAACAAGUAGUCCUCAGUGGGUGCCGUCUUCAACAACAUCGGUCCACCCAUUAAGUCUACAGAAGGGAGCAAGGAUAGUAGUAAAUGCAGGAAUAAAAUCUACCGCUAUGAAUCACUACACUAUCAUACUCUACACUAACCAACUGUAGGAAAUGUCAAAUCUGACCCAAUCUAAUCGGGACUGUAAGCAUACCCGUCCUUGGGACUGUGAACACACCCGUCCCUGCCCAGUUGCGACUAUCCAGCUACCUCCACACUAUCUAGUCCGUGGAGAGCAAGUCCAACCGGCAUGAGCGACACAAACGCGAAAGCACAACGCGCGUCUCCGGAGUGGCACUCGUGGGAGCUACCCAACCGAGUAUGCAGCGUAUCUCUGUCGAGCUCAAUCAGGCUCUACCUCAAGCCAAAAUCCAAGUAACCGACUCUAACUGGUCUAACCACCAACAGGUCACGUGCCUUCGGCACAAUCCGUCGCAAAAAAGGCGAUACGGGUCUACCGUCAACCUCGACGGCACCCAACAGUCCGGAACAACCUGAACGCUACUAUAAAAAUAUAUUCGGCAUCCCAGCACGAACGUAACUGAAAGCUAAACUACCUAGAAUACUCACUAUGAGGAUACUGCUACAGUAUAAAAUAAUACAACGGCCCCUAGGGCUAAAUCAGGUAGUGUAACUGAUGACAGGUCCAACUCGCCGGUUUUCUCCUAAUUUAAUUUCCAAGUCCAACAUGUAUAAAUUACUUAAUUUGUUAUCACAUGCUCCAAAUUCAGA